rnacentral:lncRNA from 1 species
AUUACCUCUCAAAAGGAUACAUCCACCGAUAUUGCACCGGUCCUCUAAGUUUGAGUUCAUACGGCAGAUGAAUAGGCAGAUGUUCCAUCGAGUCAAAAAAAUUCUGGAGGGAAGAUCAUUUCAAGCUUGCACAUGGUAAGUAAAAUAUUCUUCUCCAUCUGCUCGACAUCACUGUACUUAGUUAUAGUUGAGCAAAUUUCUUGAAAGAAAUUUGACAGUUCAGUCAAUGCAUCCAGAACUUUUCUGGGUAACAUCUCACGAAAUGCAAUUGUAAUCAACUUCUACAUGAAUACAUGACAAUCGUGACUCUUGAAUCCAGAAAUUUUCAAUUGCUCAACCUUACAACAACGUGUUAUGUUCGACGCAUAUCCAUCUAGGAGCUUCAACCCACUAACCCACUUAUAGACAUUUUCAAAUUAUUGCUUAGUAAGACAAAAUGGAGCUUUAGGCUUUGUAGUGUUAGGGCGAAGCCACAAUUCUGGCCUAAUGUUCAAUGCCUCCAAAUCUUUUCGAGCAUUGUCAUUGUCUUUAGUUUUACCACUCGCAUCUAACACG